UUCAGGUUCAGGUUCAGUUAAUACUUUUGAAAGAAAUUCCCUUAAAGCCAUAAGGAAUAAUGGCUUUUGUGUGAAACCAUUCUUAGUCAUGCAUUGAUUCAGUUUCUUCUCUCCCUUCUGGGACAUUGCUUUCUUUGUAGGCAUCUUCACCAUUCUGGAUUUAGUUGGGUUUACACUCGCAAUGAUCCUCUCUUCUUUUUACUCAUUUUGUGAGUAAUAAGAGCCUAAAUUCUACCUCCUUUUUAUUGUGUCUUAGUCUAAUUCCCUCAAUAUGUGAUUGGUUGUUAUCCUCGAG
rnacentral:lncRNA from 1 species